GUGGGUAUAGCUCAACGGUAGAGCAUUGGACUGUGGCUCCAAGUGUUGCGGGUUCAAAUCCCGUUACCCACC
rnacentral:tRNA from 1 species